rnacentral:rRNA from 1 species
UACGUGGGGUGCGAGCGUUAAUCGGAUUUACUGGGCGUAAAGCGUGCGCAGGCGGCCGUGAAAGUCCGGUGUGAAAACUCACGGCUCAACCGUGGGACUGCGCUGGAAACUACACGGCUUGAGGACGGUAGAGGGAGACGGAACUGCUGGUGUAGGGGUGAAAUCCGUAGAUAUCAGCAGGAACGCCGGUGGAGAAGUCGGUCUCCUGGGCCGUUCCUGACGCUGAGGCCCGAAAGCUAGGGGAGCAAACCGG